UGAGAGAAUUUCCAAGAUAUUCUAAUAUGUCUGACUCAUAUUCUCUCAAACUCGUACUCUUUUAGAAUCAUUCUCCUCUGCCUUGCACAUACAUGCUUUGUCUCUCAAAAUAUAAGCUUUUCAAGAAUGCAUUUCAAUGAAACUAAAGACCAGUGCAAGGUAUGAGAUAAUGUGAUAAGAAUGUCAUCACAAGGCAAAAAUUUUAAUUACUGAAUAUCAAAUUUGGAAAAGUACUUCAGAGGGCUUCUGGUUCAACUUAUACCUAAGGAUAAAGCUCUACUACAUCAACAAAGGUUGUAAAGGGCAGGAACUCACUAUGAUGGAUUUAAUCCUACAAUGAGGUAUUAACUCAGUGGAAUAAGUGGAACUGCAAGAGCAAGUGAGACAGCAUCCAGGUUUCCCUCCUGAUUCUCUGAACUACUACCUCUGCUAUGCCACUAAACCCUCCUCACCUUGGAAGUUCAUUCUCCCCCUGCACUUCUCACACCAGAAGUAAACUUUGCCCCAGUGGUCUCUUCCUCUGAUUGGCUGAUUUGUUCCAGCACCUCCA